ACAUUUAUAGUUUUAUUCACCACUCCUGUUAGUUUUGGAUGCGCUCGGCUCCAACCAAUCAGACCAAUUUACGCUAACGGCGCACUAAUCCCGUAACUGCACACUACCCAUAAGCCUCAAACACCGUUGCUAUGGAAAUGAAAAUAAUCAACAGCUUGGUGCUACCCGUUAUUCCUUUAUUUACUCUAAAAUAAUAACCAGCGAUAAUACGAAAAUAAACUGGCCCAGUGUUUAAUUAUGUAAUUACAAAUUGCAAAUUUUAUUUUUUUAUUUUAUUUUAUUUCAUUUUUUGCAAUAUUUAUCUACAGCGUGCCUUCAGCGACACGUAAACAGAUCUUAAGCAAGGCGAUUGGAUGGUUUUUACUGCAAUGCAUCUUGGGAGUCGUAGUAAAUGGAUCUUUCAACUCACCGUCCAGCGAAUUUUUCGACUCGACACGAGGCAGAUCUUAGCUAGAGCAGUCUGUGUACCAAGAGAACUACUUCUGCAAAGAAAUUAUAAAGCCAAAAACCAAACCAUGCCCUUCCUGUCAGGCUCCAAGCACCUGCAACAGGAAGACAUGCAGUGGAUGCCUGGGCAGCCUGAACGUAAAGGAGGGAUUGAAAAAAAAAAAACAAGAACAGCAACUGGGCUGCCUCUGUUAAAAAAAAACAGAAAUGCGAGCAGGGUGGUCAAUUCAGCCCAGUUAUCAGUAAGGUUUCAAAACUACAUGCCCUGCCAAUUCUGUUUCUUGGACAGUUUGACCGAAAGGGCCGUAUAGUAGGGGACGUGAUCACAUAGAGCCAGCGGAUG
rnacentral:lncRNA from 1 species